rnacentral:rRNA from 1 species
AGAGUUUGAUCAUGGCUCAGAUUGAACGCUGGCUGCAGGCUUAACACAUGCAAGUCGAGCGGAGAUGAGGUGCUUGCACCUUAUCUUAGCGGCGGACGGGUGAGUAAUGCUUAGGAAUCUGCCUAUUAGUGGGGGACAACAUUCCGAAAGGAAUGCUAAUACCGCAUACGUCCUACGGGAGAAAGCAGGGGAUCUUCGGACCUUGCGCUAAUAGAUGAGCCUAAGUCGGAUUAGCUAGUUGGUGGGGUAAAGGCCUACCAAGGCGACGAUCUGUAGCGGGUCUGAGAGGAUGAUCCGCCACACUGGGACUGAGACACGGCCCAGACUCCUACGGGAGGCAGCAGUGGGGAAUAUUGGACAAUGGGGGGAACCCUGAUCCAGCCAUGCCGCGUGUGUGAAGAAGGCCUUAUGGUUGUAAAGCACUUUAAGCGAGGAGGAGGCUACUGAGACUAAUACUCUUGGAUAGUGGACGUUACUCGCAGAAUAAGCACCGGCUAACUCUGUGCCAGCAGCCGCGGUAAUACAGAGGGUGCGAGCGUUAAUCGGAUUUACUGGGCGUAAAGCGUGCGUAGGCGGCUUUUUAAGUCGGAUGUGAAAUCCCCGAGCUUAACUUGGGAAUUGCAUUCGAUACUGGGAAGCUAGAGUAUGGGAGAGGAUGGUAGAAUUCCAGGUGUAGCGGUGAAAUGCGUAGAGAUCUGGAGGAAUACCGAUGGCGAAGGCAGCCAUCUGGCCUAAUACUGACGCUGAGGUACGA